rnacentral:rRNA from 1 species
UCUGGGACAAGCCCUGGAAACGGGGUCUAAUACCGGAUAUGAUCACCGGCCGCAUGGUCUGGUGAUGGAAAGCUCCGGCGGUGAAGGAUGAGCCCGCGGCCUAUCAGCUUGUUGGUGGGGUGAUGGCCUACCAAGGCGACGACGGGUAGCCGGCCUGAGAGGGCGACCGGCCACACUGGGACUGAGACACGGCCCAGACUCCUACGGGAGGCAGCAGUGGGGAAUAUUGCACAAUGGGCGAAAGCCUGAUGCAGCGACGCCGCGUGAGGGAUGACGGCCUUCGGGUUGUAAACCUCUUUCAGCAGGGAAGAAGCGAAAGUGACGGUACCUGCAGAAGAAGCGCCGGCUAACUACGUGCCAGCAGCCGCGGUAAUACGUAGGGCGCAAGCGUUGUCCGGAAUUAUUGGGCGUAAAGAGCUCGUAGGCGGCUUGUCACGUCGGAUGUGAAAGCCCAGGGCUUAACCCUGGGUCUGCAUUCGAUACGGGCAGGCUAGAGUUCGGUAGGGGAGAUCGGAAUUCCUGGUGUAGCGGUGAAAUGCGCAGAUAUCAGGAGGAACACCGGUGGCGAAGGCGGAUCUCUGGGCCGAUACUGACGCUGAGGAGCGAAAGCGUGGGGAGCGAACAGGAUUAGAUACCCUGGUAGUCCACGCCGUAAACGUUGGGAACUAGGUGUGGGCGACAUUCCACGUUGUCCGUGCCGCAGCUAACGCAUUAAGUUCCCCGCCUGG